rnacentral:rRNA from 1 species
AUUGAACGCUGGCGGCAGGCCUAACACAUGCAAGUCGAGCGAGCGGCGGACGGGUGAGUAAUGUAUGGGGACUGCCCGAUAGAGGGGGAUAACUUCUGGAAACGGUAGCUAAUACCGCAUACUAUCGGAUAACCCAUAUGGGAUUAGCUAGUAGGUGAGGUAAUGGCUCACCUAGGCGACGAUCCCUAGCUGGUCUGAGAGGAUGAUCAGCCACACUGGGACUGGGACACGGCCCGGACUCCUACGGAGGAAGCAGUCGGGAAUAUUGCACAAUGGGCGCAAGCCUGAUACAGCCCUGCCACGUGUAUGAAGCAGGCCCUAGGGUUGUAAAGUACUUUCAGUCGAGAGGCGUUACCGACAGAAGAAGCACCGACUAACUCCGUGCCAGCAGCCGCGGUAAUAC